rnacentral:tRNA from 1 species
GCCUCUGUAGCUCAGUUGGUUAGAGCGCUGCACCGGAAUCGCAGGGCCGUAGGUUCAAUUCCUACCCGAGGAC